GACGUAGGGCGCGAGCGUUGUCCGGAUUUAUUGGGCGUAAAGAGCUCGUAGGCGGUCUGUCGCGUCUGCUGUGAAAUCCCGAGGCUCAACCUCGGGCUUGCAGUGGGUACGGGCAGGCUAGAGUGCGGUAGGGGAGAAUGGAACUCCUGGUGUAGCGGUGGAAUGCGCAGAUAUCAGGAAGAACACCGAUGGCGAAGGCAGUUCUCUGGGCCGUAACUGACGCUGAGGAGCGAAAGCGUGGGUAGCGAACAGG
rnacentral:rRNA from 1 species